rnacentral:rRNA from 1 species
GACGAACGCUGGCGGCGUGCCUAAUACAUGCAAGUCGAACGAAAAGACGCGGAGCUUGUGCCGUUCACGUUAGCGGAGCACGGGAGUGACACGCGUGGAACACGUACCUAAAUGAGUGGGAUCAUUUCGAAAAUGGGGCUAAUAUCCCGGAGAAUCUAUUGCAGCGUGUGGUGCGUUGGUAAAUGUCGGCUUUGCGGUCACUACUCGCUGGUUCUGCGCCGCAUUAGCUAGUAGGUAAGGUAAAGGGUUACCAAGGGAAGGAUGCGUGACCGACUGGCCAGGGUGGUCGGCCACACUGGAACUGAGACACGGUCCAUGCGCCUACGAGAGGCAGCAGUAGGGAAUCGUCCGCAAUGGGCGAAAGCUUGACGGAACAACGCCGCGUGAGUGAUGAAGGUCUUCGGUGCGUAAUACUCUGUUUCGAGGUGAGAACAAAUUUGUAAUUAGCUAUGCACGUCGUGACGGUACCGAGUCAGAAAGCCCCGGCUAACUACGUG